UUCCUGCACAAUCCUGUUCACCUGGUGACAUCACCGCAGACCAAACAUAGAAAAAUAAAAGCAGCGGAGAGGUUCACGUCAAUCCUUUUCAACGCUAGCCAGAGGGGACAAGAUUUGGCUUCUAAAUAUAGUCCCCCAGUGAGGGAUGCUGUCUAUAAAGAGAUAAACGAUGGAUUCUUUUUGGAAAAAGGGGAAUAUUCCUCUUGCCCCCAGGAAAAAAAUAAAUAUGAUUCUCAUUAGAAAUCAAAAUGAA